rnacentral:rRNA from 1 species
CCCUUAGGUGUUCUGGGCCGCACGCGCGCUACACUGAUUCAUGCAACAAGUUUUGUCCUUGGCUGAUAGGCCUGGGUAAUCUUUGAACGUGAAUCGUGAUGGGGAUAGAUGAUUGCAAUUAUUCAUCUUCAACGAGGAAUUCCUAGUAAACGCAAGUCAUCAGCUUGCAUUGAUUACGUCCCUGCCCUUUGUACACACCGCCCGUCGCACCUACCGAUUGAAUGGUCCGGUGAAAUCUUCGGAUCUGAGAGAUGUCUGAUUAAUUUCGGACGCCUUUUGGAAAAGUUGCUUAAACCUUACCAUUUAGAGGAAGGUGAAGUCGUAACA